rnacentral:misc_RNA from 1 species
AACAUCGCGCACCUGCGGGAACCUGCGGAGGGAUCAUUAAUGCUCUGACCUCUUUGAACUACGGUUCUUUGAAGGCAGUUCACAAACUUUAAAGGAGUCGCGUUCUUCGGAGCGCGGCAUCUGCAAGCUCGCUUGCGGAUAUAGGAGGCUGAUGAGGAAGGUUUUUCGAAACUCUUUUCACAACGCACACAGUCCUCGGUCCUUGCAAAAUAAAAGUGAUGGCUUCUGAAAAGAAUUUCA